rnacentral:rRNA from 1 species
AUAUCAAUAAGCGGAGGAAAAGAAAAUAACAAUGAUUCCCUUAGUAACUGCGAGUGAAGAGGGAUAAGCUCAAAUUUUAAAUCUGUUAGGUUUACCUAAUCGAGUUGUAAUAUGAAGAGGUGUUUUUUACGUUUUUGGUCAGUCCAAAUUCCUUGGAAUAGAAUAUCAUGGAGGGUGAGAAUCCCGUUCGGCUGAUUGAUACGUUUUACAAUACGCUUUCAAAGAGUCAAGUUGUUUGGGAUUGCAGCUUAAAACAGGAGGUAAAUUUCUCCUAAGGCUAAAUAUUGGCAAAAAACCGAUAGCGAACAAGUACCGUGAGGAAAAGAUGAAAAGAACUUUGAAAAGAGAUUAAAACAGUGU